AGGUCAUAUUGAGGACAAUUCCUUAACAACCCCUUUAGCGCUCCCAAGCCUCGUAAAGUGACUCCCCCGGGUUUUGCUCAAAAUUGGCUAUUGCUUUCUUGAGUUU